rnacentral:lncRNA from 1 species
GUAGCAUGCUUUUCCCCCAACUUUGGAUGAAUUCAAUUUAGAUGCAGGACUUAAUACUACUCUUAAUGAUAAGAUAUCGUUCACCUCCUCAGAUUUAAGUCCAUCUCUCGAUAGUUUUUCCAUGGAACUGUAACGACUUUUAUAACGACCUUCAAUAGAUAUAUUUUCUAUGUUUCUGCUAGAAAUGGAUCAGAUCAUAGGGAUUGAAGCAGCUGCUUC